UCUAAUGCCGGGCCAACUGACGCGGACAUCCGGAAUGUCCGGGCGUUAGCCGGAUUGAUUGGGUGUAAAAGGUGCGUAGGCCUGAGAUUAAGCGUGUUGUGAAAUGGAGACGCUCAACGUCUGCACUGCCGCUCGAACUGGUUUCCUGGAGUACGCACAAAGUGGGCGGAAUUCGUGGUGUAGCGGUGAAAUGCUUAGAGAUCACGAAGAACUCCGAUUGCGAAGGCAGCUCACUGGAGCGCAACUGACGCUGAAGCUCGAAAGUGCGGGUAUCGAACAGGAGUAGAUACCCUUGUAGUC
rnacentral:rRNA from 1 species